GACGUAGGGCGCGAGCGUUGUCCGGAUUUAUUGGGCGUAAAGAGCUCGUAGGCGGCUUGUCGCGUCGGCUAGUGAAACCCGUGGCUCAACCAUGUGGUCUGCAGUCGAUACGGGCAGGCUAGAAUUCGGUAGGGGAGACUGGAAUUCCUGGUGUAGCGGUGAAAUGCGCAGAUAUCAAGGAGGGAACACCGGUAGGUCGCAAAGGCGGGCUCUGG
rnacentral:rRNA from 1 species